rnacentral:rRNA from 1 species
CAGUCGCCGCGGUAAUACCGAGGGUGCAAGCGUUAAUCGGAAUUACUGGGCGUAAAGCGCGCGUAGGUUGUUUGUUAAGUUGGAUGUGAAAUCCCCGGGCUCAACCUGGGAACUGCAUCCAAAACUGGCAAGCUAGAGUAUGGUAGAGGGUGGUGGAAUUUCCUGUGUAGCGGUGAAAUGCGUAGAUAUAGGAAGGAACACCAGUGGCGAAGGCGACCACCUGGACUGAUACUGACACUGAGGUGCGAAAGCGUGGGGAGCAAACAGGAUAAGAUACCCGAGUAGUCCCUGUCUCUUAUAC